rnacentral:rRNA from 2 species
AAACUUUCAACAACGGAUCUCUUGGUUCUGGCAUCGAUGAAGAACGCAGCGAAAUGCGAUAAGUAAUGUGAAUUGCAGAAUUCAGUGAAUCAUCGAAUCUUUGAACGCAUAUUGCGCCCCUUGGUAUUCC